rnacentral:lncRNA from 1 species
UAAAUUUUAAACUAACACUUUAAAAUAAAAAACGGUUCCAUGGUUCGAACCAGGAAUCGACGGUUUGGAACCGGAACCGCUGGUUCACAGUUCGAACCGAAACCGUGAGGACCAAUAUUCAGUCCGGUUUUAGUUCCAGAUUUUGGAACCGUGAAGCGGUGGUUCGGUUUCGUUUCGAAUCGGGAACCGGACCGUGGGAACCCUCUAGCCAAAUUUUUUGGAUGUCAAAACUAGUCUU